AGAGUUUGAUCAUGGCUCAGAUUGAACGCUGGCGGCAUGCCUUACACAUGCAAGUCGAACGGCAGCACGGGAGCUUGCUCCUGGUGGCGAGUGGCGAACGGGUGAGUAAAGCAUCGGAACGUACCUUGUCGAGGGGGAUAACGCAGCGAAAGUUGUGCUAAUACCGCAUACGUCCUGAGGGAGAAAGCGGGGGACCGCAAGGCCUCGCGCGAUGAGAGCGGCCGAUGUCAGAUUAGCUAGUUGGUGAGGUAAAGGCUCACCAAGGCGACGAUCUGUAGCGGGUCUGAGAGGAUGAUCCGCCACACUGGGACUGAGACACGGCCCAGACUCCUACGGGAGGCAGCAGUGGGGAAUUUUGGACAAUGGGGGAAACCCUGAUCCAGCCAUGCCGCGUGAGUGAAGAAGGCCUUCGGGUUGUAAAGCUCUUUCGGCCGGGAAAA
rnacentral:rRNA from 1 species